GAAACCGGGUGAUCUAGCCAUGGGCAGGUUGAAGGUUGAGUAACAUCAACUGGAGGACCGAACCGACUAAUGUUGAAAAAUUAGCGGAUGACUUGUGGCUAGGGGUGAAAGGCCAAUCAAACUCGGAGAUAGCUGGUUCUCCCCGAAAGCUAUUUAGGUAGCGCCUCGGACGAAUACUACUGGGGGUAGAGCACUGUUAAGGCUAGGGGGUCAUCCCGACUUACCAACCCUUUGCAAACUCCGAAUACCAGUAAGUACUAUCCGGGAGACACACGGCGGGUGCUAACGUCCGUCGUGGAGAGGGAAACAACCCAGACCGCCAGCUAAGGUCCCAAAGUAUUGCUAAGUGGGAAACGAUGUGGGAAGGCUCAGACAGCUAGGAUGUUGGCUUAGAAGCAGCCAUCAUUUAAAGAAAGCGUAAUAGCUCACUAGUCGAGUCGGCCUGCGCGGAAGAUGUAACGGGGCUAAGCAAUACACCGAAGCUGCGGCAAUAUCUUUUAGAUAUUGGGUAGGGGAGCGUUCUGUAAGCCGUUGAAGGUGAAUCGUAAGGUUUGCUGGAGGUAUCAGAAGUGCGAAUGCUGACAUGAGUAACGACAAAGGGGGUGAAAAACCUCCUCGCCGGAAGACCAAGGGUUCCUGUCCAACGUUAAUCGGGGCAGGGUGAGUCGACCCCUAAGGUGAGGCCGAAAGGCGUAAUCGAUGGGAAACGGGUUAAUAUUCCCGUACUUCUGACUAUUGCGAUGGGGGGACGGAGAAGGCUAGGUGGGCCAGGCGACGGUUGUCCUGGUUCAAGUGCGUAGGCUUGAGAGUUAGGUAAAUCCGGCUCUCUCUAAGGCUGAGACACGACGUCGAGCUGCUACGGCAGUGAAGUCAUUGAUGCCAUGCUUCCAGGAAAAGCCUCUAAGCUUCAGAUAGUCAGGAAUCGUACCCCAAACCGACACAGGUGGUCGGGUAGAGAAUACCAAGGCGCUUGAGAGAACUCGGGUGAAGGAACUAGGCAAAAUGGUACCGUAACUUCGGGAGAAGGUACGCUCUUGAUGGUGAAGUCCCUCGCGGAUGGAGCUGACGAGAGUCGCAGAUACCAGGUGGCUGCAACUGUUUAUUAAAAACACAGCACUGUGCAAAAUCGCAAGAUGACGUAUACGGUGUGACGCCUGCCCGGUGCCGGAAGGUUAAUUGAUGGGGUUAGCGCAAGCGAAGCUCUUGAUCGAAGCCCCGGUAAACGGCGGCCGUAACUAUAACGGUCCUAAGGUAGCGAAAUUCCUUGUCGGGUAAGUUCCGACCUGCACGAAUGGCGUAAUGAUGGCCACGCUGUCUCCACCCGAGACUCAGUGAAAUUGAAAUCGCUGUGAAGAUGCAGUGUACCCGCGGCUAGACGGAAAGACCCCGUGAACCUUUACUACAGCUUGGCACUGAACAUUGAACCUACAUGUGUAGGAUAGGUGGGAGGCUAUGAAGACGUGACGCCAGUUGCGUUGGAGCCGUCCUUGAAAUACCACCCUUGUAUGUUUGAUGUUCUAACUUAGACCCGUUAUCCGGGUUGAGGACAGUGCCUGGUGGGUAGUUUGACUGGGGCGGUCUCCUCCCAAAGAGUAACGGAGGAGCACGAAGGUGGGCUAAUCACGGUUGGACAUCGUGAGGUUAGUGCAAUGGCAUAAGCCCGCUUAACUGCGAGAAUGACGGUUCGAGCAGGUGCGAAAGCAGGUCAUAGUGAUCCGGUGGUUCUGUAUGGAAGGGCCAUCGCUCAACGGAUAAAAGGUACUCCGGGGAUAACAGGCUGAUACCGCCCAAGAGUUCAUAUCGACGGCGGUGUUUGGCACCUCGAUGUCGGCUCAUCACAUCCUGGGGCUGAAGUCGGUCCCAAGGGUAUGGCUGUUCGCCAUUUAAAGUGGUACGCGAGCUGGGUUUAGAACGUCGUGAGACAGUUCGGUCCCUAUCUGCCGUGGGCGUUGGAAGAUUGAAGGGGGCUGCUCCUAGUACGAGAGGACCGGAGUGGACGAACCUCUGGUGUUCGGGUUGUGUCGCCAGACGCAUUGCCCGGUAGCUAAGUUCGGAAUUGAUAAGCGCUGAAAGCAUCUAAGCGCGAAGCGAGCCCUGAGAUGAGUCUUCCCUGACGGUUUAACCGUCCUAAAGGGUUGUUCGAGACUAGAACGUUGAUAGGCAGGGUGUGUAAGCGUUGUGAGGCGUUGAGCUAACCUGUACUAAUUGCCCGUGAGGCUUAACCAU
rnacentral:rRNA from 1 species